rnacentral:rRNA from 1 species
AUACGGAGGGUGCAAGCGUUAAUCGGAAUUACUGGGCGUAAAGCGUGCGUAGGUGGUUUGUUAAGUCAGAUGUGAAAGCCCCGGGCUCAACCUGGGAACUGCAUUUGAAACUGGCAUACUAGAGUAUAGGAGAGGAAAGUGGAAUUUCAGGUGUAGCGGUGAAAUGCGUAGAUAUCUGAAGGAACAUCAAUGGCGAAGGCAGCUUUCUGGACUAAUACUGACACUGAGGUACGAAAGCGUGCGUAGCAAACAGGAUUAGAAACCCUUGUAGUCC